rnacentral:rRNA from 1 species
CGUAGCUGGUUUGUUAAGUCUCUGGGGAAAUCUUCCGGCUUAACCGGAAGGCGUCUCAGGGAUACUGGCAGACUAGGGACCGGAAGAGGUGAGAGGUACUCCAGGGGUAGGAGUGAAAUCCUGUAAUCCUUGGGGGACCACCUGUGGCGAAGGCGUCUCACCAGAACGGCUCCGACAGUGAGGGACGAAAGCUGGGGGAGCAAACCGGAUUAGAUACCCGGGUAGUCCCAGCCGUAAACGAUGUGCGUUAGGUGUAUCGGUGACCACGAGUCACCGAGGUGCCGAAGAGAAAUCGUGAAACGUACCGCCUGGGAAGUACGGUCGCAAGGCUGAAACUUAAAGGAAUUGGCGGGGGAGCACCACAACAGGUGGAGCCUGCGGUUUAAUCGGACUCAACGCCGGAAAACUCACCGGAUAAGACAGCUGAAUGAUAGUCGGGCUGAAGACUCUACUUGACUAGCUGAGAGGAGGUGCAUGGCCGUCGUCAGUUCGUAUG